rnacentral:lncRNA from 1 species
UGCUUGAUGCGUGUGUGUGUGUGUGUGCGUGCAUGCGUGUGUGCGUUCCAGGCAAAUUAACUUCCUCUGAGUCCCUGCUGUCCCUUGUCCUCCUGCCCUGCUUGAUGCGUGUGUGCGUGUGUGCAUGGGUGCGGGUGCGGGUGUGUGUGGGUGUGGGUGUGGGUGCGUAUGUUUUUAGUUCAAGUGUGGAUGCUCGGCAAUAGUGAUGUAGGUCAUUUUGUAGAACAGCAUGAUUAACUUGGUCUAUUUCUAGAGAAAAUUCCUAGGAAUUUGAUUGACGGAGGCAUCACUAUCUGGCGCUGGAUUAUACAUUUUUGCAGCACUACCACUAUUGUUUUUGUUUGGCAGGAAUGAAUGUUCUAGGGUUGGAGCAGAGGGGGUUGAGCAGCAGUUGAGCUUAGGUGAGUGUUCAGGUUCUAUAAUUGACCCACCAAGAAAAGUGUGAUGCCAGUUAUGCAAUUUAUUUUCAUAGAACAUUGUUAUCUUUAUCUUGGUGAAUGUACAGAGCUAAUGUUCAGUUCAUUGUCUCAGGCAUGAAUUUACAGAUUCAAGAUUUGCUUACACAUGGGGCUUUUUAUUCUCCUAAUGUUUCUAGGUAUUUCUCAUUAUCAAGAGCAUUUACAUUGCUUUACAGAGUAUACAUCAAGCACAGUUGAAGUACAUAUCAAAUAGUUGUAUUCCAGAGUUGUUUGAUUCACAUGAUAAACAUUCUACAAAUAGUUCCCAUGCCAUAAUAAGUUAUAAUGUUUUGUUUCUCUUACAUUUAUAUGUUUACACCACUGCUUUUCUUCCAAUUUUAUUGGAGGCUCAUAUCAGGUCGCUUUGGAGGCUGAUAUCAGGUGGCUACUCAUGUCUAGCUUGGUGGCUUGGUGCAUAAAUUUUAGAUGUUCCAUUAAUCUUGGCUGCUUUUCUAAUCCGUUUUGGGCUUUAACCUUGGGUAAAUGGACUAAUCUUUUCCUUGUCUGUAAACUGUGUGCUGGCAUGCUUAUGCUCUUACAAGUUCCUCUUCUUUCAUUUCACACAUUGUCAGAUCUAGAAGGUAGCAGCUUCUUUGUUCUCCUACUCAAGAUUUGCUCAUUGUUCAGUUCAAGCCAUGUUCUUCAGGUAUCUUCCUUCACAUUUUCUUUACCUGAUGGUCAGUUGAUCUAGCCAAGGGCUUCUCUAUUGUUCUUGGUUUCUUAGAAUAUGUUUUGCUUUGCUAACAAAAUAGUAGGCAUGUGUGUGAGAUUACUUCUCGGUGAAUCUAACAUAAGAUUCUACAUUUAAUUCCAGACUGUUUUUAACUCUCACAAGCUCUUUUUGCUGUUAUGUGUUGCUGCAAGUUUGGACUUGCAAAGAGAACAAUUGAAAACUUGACCACGACAAUUAUAUUUACCGACUAUAAUGGUAACUGGGGAAUAAGCAUCCUAAGGCAUUUGUACCAAACAUGAUUUGAAUCCUUGGGCGUGCCAAUAUGUUCUCUCUAUUUUAGAGUGUGAUGCUCUUGACAAUUGGAAGAAUCAACAUGUAAAUCAAUUUAUAAGUAUAAAACCUUGUGAGCUGGAUCUCCAUUUUCAAUUGGCGGCUUUUCUUAAACAUUCAUACUUUUGAAAGCUUCUACAAGACUCUCAUUGGACCAUUCAGCACAUGUUCUGUACCCCUGAGCAAGUUCAUGGAUACCCAUAUACUCCAAUAAGAUAUUAUAAGAACGUAACUAAAAGGAAAAUAAUAUCUCUCCAAAAAUAGAAUUUUCCUGAAAUCAUUUCUCGAGAUGCCCCCUGUAACCUAUGUUGCGUUUAUGACUGAAUUGUCUUUUCUUUAAGACUAGCAUGGUAUCAGCCUUUGGCAUCUUUAAUCUUCAAUGUAGAAGAUUAAAAUCAAAUAUGAUCGUAGCAAACACAAAUGAACACAAUAAAAAAUUUGAUGGUAAAAUUGUUCAAUGUCUGCCAUAUUAUAUUUUGUUACAAGUGAUAGUAGAAACUAACAAUGAAUUCUAUCUACAUUCAAUGAACUAUGGAGAAUAUGUGCUUGGGAGGGAUUUGGAAAGAACAGUUACGACGAGUUCUUGUUUUACUUAAUAAUCUUCAGUUUUCUAAUUCAUAGCUCUGUGUAUUGUGUAAACACUAACCAAAGGAGGAUCACAUUUUGUUAUUCUUUUUUUAAAUAAUUAUGAGUGAGUUGCAUUCUGUUGGUUCACUAAACUCGCCUUAUUGAUUGUUUCCAUACAAAAAUAAACCCUUUUGGUCAUUGUAGAUGUGUACUGUUGUAACAAUGCAUGUUAGCUACAGAUGUUAUAUAAUUCUUUUUAUAAAUCUUGACUGAAUCAAGAUAUCUUCUCCAGGAAAAUCAUUGUUUCUUCACUUCCAGGGCCAGCGUCACUCAACUUUGCUUGGAUCAUGCUUAUUUGUUUCUACAUUACCUUUGCUUAAUAUUUUCUCUUGAUUUCCUAUGUGAUUGAGAUGCGUGCCUAUCUCGACUGUUCUGUUGUGUUAGCAAUUUCUUGCCACUGGCCCAUUAUAACUAUUGUUCAUGUACCUGGUGCACUUCUAAUUUUGAAUUGUGCUUGCUGAGUGCCCUCAUUUUUUUACUACCUUCCGUUGGUGUAUAUGCAAGUUGUAGAGCUUUGUUGUUCAAUCUGGUUAUAGCUUUAUUCUCCUAUUUUCUUACUCACUCCCGCAUUGUCUUAGUUAUUAGAAAUGUAAAUAGGCCAUGUGAAAAUAAGCUAAAGUAGCUUUUUUGGGAGAUUUUUUGUGACAUUGUUUUUUGUACAACAGAACCAUUUUUCUGCUAAGUAAAUUACAUUAUGUGUCCAGCAUCUGAUGGUUUGCUACCUAUAUUACUGGCUUGCAUGCUUUGAGAAAAUGAUUUUAGCAUGUUUGUCAUUCAUAUAGCUGUCCAUCUGCGAAAGAAAAAAAUGUUAUUUGCUCAUGCCUCAUGUCAUAAAAUCAAAUCUCUGCACCAUGCUGAUAUUCUUCAUAAAGAAACCACUUGCUUUUACAAUUACUGGACUACUGUGAGUGUCGUCGUCUUCAUUGAUGGGAUGACAAGAGCGACAAUAGCGCUAGCCAGCGAGGCAGGCUGCUUGGCUCUGGGGCCGAGACCUACCGUCCACUUCCGUUGGGCGGAUCUGCCACUUCAAAAACUUACGGUGGCAAUAAGAAAUCUCAAGAGCUUGUUGUGAUGAUUUGAAUGUAAGCAGUUUCCCUCGCUGUGCUUGUGUGCGCUUCUAUGUCUUUUGUGGUCUAUUCUUAGUGUAUGGAAUGGUUAUAUUAGCCCUGUAGUUUACUUUCAUUUUUGAAUCUUGAUGCAUCGAAAAUAGUUGUAAAGUGCAAGACCUUAUUUCUGUUGGUGAAAUAAUAUAUGCACAUUGGCUCUU